UACGGAGGGUGCAAACGUUGCUCGGAAUCAUUGGGCGUAAAGCGCACGUAGGCGGACCGCUAAGUCGGAUGUGAAAGCCCUCGGCUUAACCGAGGAAGUGCAUUCGAAACUGACGGUCUUGAGUAUGGAAGAGGGCCGCGGAAUUCCCGGUGUAGAGGUGAAAUUCGUAGAUAUCGGGAGGAACACCAGUGGCGAAGGCGGCGACCUGGGCCAAUACUGACGCUGAGGUGCGAAAGCGUGGGGAGCAAACAGG
rnacentral:rRNA from 1 species